CAGUCGCCACGGUAAUACGUAGGGUGCAAGCGUUAAUCGGAAUUACUGGGCGUAAAGCGUGCGCAGGCGGUUUGUUAAGACAGAUGUGAAAUCCCCGGGCUCAACCUGGGAACUGCAUUUGUGACUGGCAGGCUAGAGUAUGGCAGAGGGGGGUGGAAUUCCGCGUGUAGCAGUGAAAUGCGUAGAUAUGCGGAGGAACACCGAUGGCGAAGGCAGCCCCCUGGGCCAAUACUGACGCUCAUGCACGAAAGCGUGGGGAGCAAACAGGAUUAGAUACCCCUGUAGUCCCUGUCUCUUAUAC
rnacentral:rRNA from 1 species